UACGGAGGGAGCUAGCGUCAUUCGGAAUUACUGGGCGUAAAGCGCACGUAGGCGGCUUUGUAAGUAAGAGGUGAAAGCCUGGAGCUCAACUCCAGAACUGCCUUUUAGACUGCAUCGCUUGAAUCCAGGAGAGGUGAGUGGAAUUCCGAGUGUAGAGGUGAAAUUCGUAGAUAUUCGGAAGAACACCAGUGGCGAAGGCGGCCAACUGGUCCGGCACUGACGCUGAGGUGCGAAAGCGUGGGGAGCAAACAGG
rnacentral:rRNA from 1 species